rnacentral:rRNA from 1 species
UACGGAGGGGGCUAGCGUUGUUCGGAAUUACUGGGCGUAAAGCGCACGUAGGCGGCGAUUUAAGUCAGAGGUGAAAGCCUGGAGCUCAACUCCAGAACUGCCUUUGAGACUGGAUUGCUAGAAUCUUGGAGAGGCGGGUGGAAUUCCGAGUGUAGAGGUGAAAUUCGUAGAUAUUCGGAAGAACACCAGUGGCGAAGGCGGCCCGCUGGACAAGUAUUGACGCUGAGGUGCGAAAGCGUGGGGAGCAAACAGG